UUUCCAUACAACACCCAGUGUGCACCUGAUUGCGUCAGAUCUCAGAAGCUAAGCUGGGUCGGACCUAGUUAGUAGUUGAAUGGCAGACUUUCUUGUUUUGUAUAACCUUGAUAGUUUUGAGGA
ensembl:rRNA 5S_rRNA 5S ribosomal RNA